UAAAGUGGACAGGGAGGGUUUGUCAGUUUAAAGCAGAUGUCAAGACAAUUUGAUCAAGGCAAUUUUGACAAUAAAAGACUGGUAUGUAGGUAGAUCAUUGAGUUUACACACAUGUACUGUUUUGAUAGGAGUGCAUGGAGGAUGGGUGCAGCUUGGACAUACUGACUAUCGACAACACUUAAUACUUCCUAUGCAAUAAAUGGAAGCAGAAUACAACCUGAUCCACUGUUGCGCAUUAUACUGACAGUGAAGGCAACUUCUGACUGCAAGGGCACUCACUAUAGCUGACCAAAAAUGCUGGAAAUAUACCAGACAAGAGUGAAGAAAAACAACACCGUGAUGGCAGAACAAAGCAGAGGAAAAUUCAACAGCAGCUAAAACUCACCAGGGAAAUGAAUCAGAAAUGGAAUUUUGUGUCUGUAUUUUUUUAGUGGUAUAUUUGCUGAAAAGAUCCCACAAAGAAAUAUUUGUGUUUUUCAUUGCAACUUUGAGUGUCCUUUCAGAAACUGGUGCUUGUCUAAUUAAAGCCAAUCAGCAUAAUUGUUAAAUAAUUAGACAACUACUUGGAAGCUAUCAGUCAUGGUUAUUAUGUUUAGGUCCUGACCUAAUAAGUAGGGUGUUUAUUAUGCAAUAAUUGACAAGUCUCACUUGGAGCUUUGAAAUUGUUUAUUUCUGAAAAUUGUUUAUUGUUUUGUCCACUGGUAAUUAAAACAGGGGCCUUCAUAGAAUGAUUUUGUGUGGUUUUUUGAUGAAACAGCUCUUAUAAUUUUUUGUAAUUCUUGUAUGAAAACCUUCACAAUGCAGUGUACAAGUAAUUAUUGCUACCAUGUUCAAGACGAAAGCCAUUCACGCACAUGCACAAUAAUGUUGGAUUUUGAAUAGGGAAUUGCAAUUGGUAGCAUGGGUACCGUAUUCAAAAAAGCAACCCAUAAGGUCAUCCAUGUACAUUCAUUUGGCCGUUUUGCCCUGUAUUCGACCUGAAGUUUUCAAAUUUUCAGCACUAUCUGAAAAACCACUGCACUGAAACUCCCAUUACCUUUUUUUGGUAGCGUAAUCAUUUUCUAAAGUGAUUUGGGAGCCUAGUCAAUCUGGGUCUGGCACCAGUCAUUAUACAGAUCCUAAUUUCAUGUCAUGCACAUUAUUUUGUUUGGCCUUUUUUGUGGAUAUAUUAAGAUCUCCAGCAUAGCAAUCGGCAGCUAGGCCAAGACAGGACAGUGGGAACUGGGUGCCGGUGGCUUGUCAAGUGUACGUAGACCAAUGAAACUUAUCCAAAGGACCGGGCGGGACGGGUUCGUUUUUAUUAUUGGGUGACUUGUCAGGAACGAAGCAUGAUCAAAUGGCUGCAGAGGUAACUAAGUUGAUAGUGGGGUUUUUUAUCUCCACCAAAAUGGCAGUCAUGGGGUAAAACUGCAGAACCCAUUAUGACCGACAAUCAGUAAUCAGCCAUUAUGCAAACAUCAGCUUUUUCAGUUCAACCAAGUAGUGGGGUUUUCUUGGAGUAUUAAACACUCCCCCAAAUGAAUAAUUUGACAUAGGCUUAAACACGUUUGGAAAAAGUUUCCUUUUUGUUGCAUGUUUUGCAUACUUGGAUGUCUUAGUGAUUUUUCCUAUUACACUAGUCUCACUUUUGGCACUUCGUGAAAAUUGCCCAUGAAAUAAAAUGUUAAACUUUGUUACAUUUCAACGAGCAGGAAAGUAUUUAGGUUCAGUUUUGUUUGCAAAUCCAUACAGCUGUACCAUGCAAAAUUGGGUCACUUCCCGACAUUUUCCCUUGUGUUUAUGAUCUUGAGUAAAGUAAAAUGGCAUAACAACCACUUGGAAA